UACUGCAUUUUUUCUUACCAUGUGUUUUUCUUUUUUUGAAAACUUUGCUUUGGUAGGGGUCUAUAUGGGGCCUGCCAGAGAUUAAACUCAACCAAAUUUUAUUUAAUGUCAACCGAUUAUUUAAUAGUCAAAACUUUCAACAACGGAUCUCUUGGUUCUCGCAUCGAUGAAGAACGCAGCGAAAUGCGAUAAGUAAUAUGAAUUGCAGAUAUUCGUGAAUCAUCGAAUCUUUGAACGCACAUUGCGCCCUUUGGUAUUCCAAAGGGCAUGCCUGUUUGAGCGUCAUUUCUCCCUCAAACCCUCGGGUUUGGUGUUGAGCGAUACGCUGGGUUUGCUUGAAAGAAAGGCGGAGUAUAAACUAAUGGAUAGGUUUUUUCCACUCAUUGGUACAAACUCCAAAACUUCUUCCAAAUUCGACCUCAAAUCAGGUAGGACUACCCGCUGAACUUAAGCAUAUCAAUAAGCGGAGG
rnacentral:rRNA from 1 species